AGGAUGGUAGCUCAAUUGGUAGAGCAUCGGUUUCCAAAACCGAGGGUUGCGGGUUCGAGUCCUGUCCAUCCUGCCA
rnacentral:tRNA from 1 species